ensembl:lncRNA
UCCAUCCGGCAUAUCAAUAAUCUUUCCUUACGCCAUGUAGGUUGGGAAAUGUUUUGGAUUUCAGCCCCUCCAUUGUCAGGAGAGAAGGGAGUAACGAAUAUAAAUAAUGUGCUGCCCUUUCAAGAAGCCAUCCAGGACAGCAUCAGCCAAACAGCAUUACUUGAAGCAAUCAAGAUAUUUACCAGGGUUAAGCACCAAGAAGAAUGUAGCAGUAAAUGUGUCAAGGACUUGAUUGGAAGCAGCCUGUGGGGGAGCAGCUAGUGGUUCCAUUGGAGGCACACUUGCCUACCAGGGGCAACCACGGAUCACGUACAGGAGGAUAUGUUCCCUCAGCUAAUAAGAAGGAGACUGGAUCAGCUAGCCAAAGAGUGCAUCUAGCACCCCUAGAUUCAACGGUAUCAAAUUAUGCAACAUGGAAAUCGAGCAGGUCAAGCAGUCAGGUGGGACCAUCGUCCUACUUGUCAUCUCCCACCAAGAGCACACCGGGCCUGCGACCUCGCCCUCUAGCUCAGCCCGUCCAUGGGCGCACUGACUGGGCUGCCAAAUAUGGCCACCGAUAGGGAGUUCUCAAGGCACACAUUCAGGACACUUGUAGGUCCUGUGACUUUUCCACUCGAGUUAUUAACUUGUAUAUUUAUUUUAUACAGCAAUAAUAUCUGUUUUAUAUUGCUCUGUGUAUGGUUAAUGUAAAAAAAUUUAUAUACUUUUUUUGCAUAAUAUGCACAAGAAAUCUCAGAGUUUGUGUCAGUGUAUUGAACGAUGUUGUAAAUUUAUCUUUUAUCCUGCAUAAUCUUUCUAAACCUCAUAAAUAUGGAUUAAUGUUGCAUUGUAUUAAUUACAGUUGGUGAGGUGAAAUUUGUGUUUUUUUUGCACGCCACCUUUGUGGAUUUCUACAAAAUUGCUUAGUUUUUUUGUUUUUCAGUGAACGUGUAGGAACUUUUCAUUUUUAUUUAACUUUUUCAGAGUUGUAUUGUUUUGAUUUUUGAUGUUGAGAUUUUUACAAAUAUCCUUUUGCCAGUAUAUUUUGUACACCCAUGACUAAAUUAUUUUCUUUCUUUCUUUUUUUAAAAAAAUUUCUCUUGGAAGUACUUUUCCCCUAAAAUUGUAUGUAUAUUAUGUAAUGCACAACACUUGUUAGUAAUAUGCUUGUGUUACAACCCCUGACCCUUUUUGAUAAUGGCUGCCUAUCUGUGGUGGCAUUUUUCAACAACAAGGGUUUUAUUGUUAUCCUUCAAAAUAUUGUUGCCAUUCCAAUGUAUUAAAAAAAUUACUUUCUCAACC